rnacentral:rRNA from 1 species
CCUGGCUCAGGAUGAACGCUAGCGGGAGGCCUAACACAUGCAAGCCGAGCGGUAGAGAUCUUUCGGGAUCUUGAGAGCGGCGUACGGGUGCGGAACACGUGUGCAACCUGCCUUUAUCUAGGGGAUAGCCUUUCGAAAGGAAGAUUAAUACCCCAUAAUAUAUUGACUGGCAUCAUUUAACAUUGAAAACUCCGGUGGAUAGAGAUGGGCACGCGCAAGAUUAGCUAGUUGGUGAGGUAACGGCUCACCAAGGCGGCGAUCUUUAGGGGGCCUGAGAGGGUGAUCCCCCACACUGGUACUGAGACACGGACCAGACUCCUACGG